CCUACGGGUGGCUGCAGUGGGGAAUAUUGGGCAAUGGAGGCAACUCUGACCCAGCAACGCCGCGUGAAUGAUGAAGGUCUUCGGAUUGUAAAGUUCUUUUCUAAGGGAAGAAGAAAGUGACGGUACCUUAGGAAUAAGCCUCGGCUAACUACGUGCCAGCAGCCGCGGUAAUACGGAGGGUGCGAGCGUUAAUCGGAAUUACUGGGCGUAAAGCGCUCGUAGGCGGUAUGUCAAGUCAAGGGUGAAAUCCCCGCGCUCAACGUGGGAACUGCCUUUGAAACUGGCAAACUGGAGUGUGUGAGAGGAUAGUGGAAUUCCAGGUGUAGGAGUGAAAUCCGUAGAUAUCUGGAGGAACAUCAGUGGCGAAGGCGACUAUCUGGCACAUAACUGACGCUGAGGAGCGAAAGCGUGGGUAGCAAACAGGAUUAGAUACCCGAGUAGUC
rnacentral:rRNA from 1 species